ACCAACAACAAAAAGGACAAGCAAGUGAAGCAGCACAAAGCAGACAGGAGACAAAGGCUAGAGGAGAUGGAGCAAUUCCAGGGAAGAUGAGUGAACAUAUAUACGAGAAUGACAAACAUGAAAAUGAGUAUGAGAAUGAUAUGUAUGAAAAUGUAAAGCUUGA